rnacentral:rRNA from 1 species
AUUGAACGCUGGCGGCAGGCCUAACACAUGCAAGUCGAACGAGUGGCGGACGGGUGAGUAAUGUCUGGGAAACUGCCUGAUGGAGGGGGAUCACUACUGGACACGGUAGCUAAUACCGCAUACCAUCAGAUGUGCCCAGAUGGGAUUAGCUAGUUGGUGGGGUAACGGCCCACCAAGGCGACGAUCCCUAGCUGGUCUGAGAGGAUGACCAGCCACACGGGAAUGGAGACACGGUCCAGACUCCUACGUGAGGCAGCAUUGGGGAAUAUUGCACAAGGGGCGCAAGCCUGAUGCGGCCAUGCCGCGUGUAUGAAGAAGGCCUUCGGGUUGGAAAGUACUUUCAGCGGGGAGGCGUUACCCGCAGAAGAAGCACCGGCUAACUCCGUGCCAGCAGCCGCGGUAAUUC